GACAGAGGUGCCGAGCGUUAGGCGGAAUCACUGGGCUUAAAGCGUGUGUAGGCGGCCCGUUAAGUGCCUCGUGAAAUCCCCCGGCUCAACCGGGGAACUGCGGGGCAUACUGGCGGGCUUGGGUCGCGCAGGGGCAGACGGAACAGGCGGUGGAGCGGUGAAAUGCGUAGAUAUCAGGAGGAACACCGAUGGCGAAGGCAGGUCUCUGGGCCACUACUGACGCUGAGAAGCGAAAGCAUGGGGAGCGAACAGG
rnacentral:rRNA from 1 species